rnacentral:rRNA from 1 species
AUUGAACGCUGGCGGCAUGCCUUACACAUGCAAGUCGAACGGCAGCACGGGGCAACCUGGUGGCGAGUGGCGAACGGGUGAGUAAUGCUUCGGAACGUACCUUUCAGUGGGGGAUAACGUAGCGAAAGUUACGCUAAUACCGCAUAUUCUGUGAGCAGGAAAGCAGGGGAUCGCAAGACCUUGCGCUGAUUGAGCGGCCGAUGUCAGAUUAGCUAGUUGGUGAGGUAAAGGCUCACCAAGGCGACGAUCUGUAGCGGGUCUGAGAGGAUGAUCCGCCACACUGGAACUGAGACACGGUCCGGACUCCUACGGGAGGCAGCAGUGGGGAAUUUUGGACAAUGGGGGCAACCCUGAUCCAGCCAUGCCGCGUGAGUGAAGAAGGCCUUCGGGUUGUAAAGCUCUUUCGGCCGGGAAGAAAUCGCACGGGCUAAUACCCUGUGUGGAUGACGGUACCGGAAUAAGAAGCACCGGCUAACUACGUGCCAGCAGCCGCCGUAAUAC